rnacentral:piRNA from 1 species
UAAGAUCGGGGGAAAGUCUGAUGCGGU